rnacentral:lncRNA from 1 species
CUGGGUGCAGCCUGGAAGUCUGAUUCCAGAGGAACAAAGAGACAAAUACCAACGUGGAUUCUGGCAGAGGGGAACAAUACAGGUGCCCAGUGAGUAAAACUGGGGCACAAGAGGAAGGUUUAAUUACCGGAAAAAGAUAGCAGCCCACUUCAUGGCAGGAUGCUUACCUUGGAUGCUUACAUUUGGUGUCAAGAUGAAGGGGGGGCCUUUCCUGGAUGUCACUGGGAUGCCACAGCAGGCCUGUAGAAGUCACAUUGCAGGAAAGACGUUGGGCUUCCCCAGGAGGAAAAGGGAAAGGGCUGGGGAUGAAAGAUCAAGCUCCCAGACCAUGAGGUUGAG